rnacentral:rRNA from 1 species
GCUAGCUAUUAAGCCUUCAAACCACCAUAAGAUAAAUCUAUCUCAACUACCAUAAAAUAAAACAUUUUACUGCUUAAGUAAAGGCGAUUAAAAAACCUCUAAGAGCUUUAAUUCUAGUACCGCAAGGGAAAAAUGAAAUAUAAAUGAAAUAAAAUAAAGCACAAAACAAUAGAGAUUAAAACUCGUACCUUUUGCAUCAUGGUCUAGCAAGUCAUUAUCAAGCAUAGGGACACUCAAGUUUGAUUCCCCGAAACUAGGCGAGCUACUUCAAAAUAGCAUCUAGAGCCAACCCGUCUCUGUGGCAAAAGAGUGGGAAGAUUUUCAAGUAGAGGUGAUAAGCCUACCGAGCCUAGAGAUAGCUGGUUAUUCAAGAAAAGAAUUUUAGUUCUACCUUAGGCACCCGCAUGAAUACAAACAAAACACUGUACCUAAGAGCUAUUCAAAUAAGGAACAGCUUAUUUGAAAAAGGAUACAACCUAAACUUUAGGGUAAGACCCACAACAUAAAAUUAAUAAAGUAGGCCUAAAAGCAGCCACCUUUAAAAAAGCGUUAAAGCUUUAUCUUUAAUGUAUUAAAUUCCUCAUCUCAUCACGAACCCAUCAUUAGUAUUGAAUAAACUCAUAAACUAUGAGAAUUAUUAUGCUAGAACUAGUAACAAGAAAAUGAAUUUCUCCAAAGCGUGAGCAUAAGUCAACAUGGACCACCCAUUGACACAUAACGGUGCUGAAUCAACUAUAGUAAAACAUCUAGAAAACCCUAUACUCUCACCAUGCCGUUAACCUUACACAAGAGCCCUUCUGGAAAGAUUAAAAGGAAGAGAAGGAACUCGGCAAAUAUUGGCCCCGCCUGUUUACCAAAAACAUCGCCUCUUGAUUAGAUAUAAGAGGUCCAGCCUGCCCAGUGUUCUAUAUCAACGGCCGCGUGAUUUAAGCGCGCGAAGGUAGCAUAAUAAUUUGUCCUUUAAAUGUGGACUAGUAUCAACGGCACCACGAGGGCCAUACUGUCUCCUCCCCCCAAUCAGUGAAACUAAUCUCCCUGUGAAAAAGCAGGGGUAGAACUAUAAGACGAGAAGACCCCAUGGAGCUUAAAACACGGCAUUAAUUCUAAUAACACCAUCAAUACAAUUUUAAAUCAUACAUGCUAGUUUUGGGUUGGGGUGACCGCGGAGUAAAACAAAACCUCCACAACGAAUAAGAGAUUAUCUCCUUAUCCAAGAGGCACUUCUCUAAGAAUUAUCUAACAUAACGUCUAAUGACCCGACUAUCGAUCAACGGACCAAGUUACCCUGGGGAUAACAGCGCAAUCCGCUUUGAAAGCUCCUAUCGACAAGCGGGCUUACGACCUCGAUGUUGGAUCAGGGUAUCCCAGUGGUGCAGCCGCUACUAAAGGUUUGUUUGUUC